GAACUAACCUAAAUCACGGCGGUCUCUUGUAGAAAUACAAGAGUACGAAACUGAUUAAUAUCGGUAAAACCCCAUGUGGGUAAUACCGAGGGAAAUUCGCAAGAAUACCCGUAGAGACUAAACAUCAGAUGUCUUAACUCGAAUAGAGAAAGAUAAAGUUAUAGUCCAUUCCUUACAGUAAUGUAAGA
rnacentral:ncRNA from 1 species